AUUAGACUACCCGCGUACGUCCCAGCCGUAAACUAUGCUCGCUAGGUGUCAGGCAUGGCGCGACCGUGUCUGGUGCCGCAGGGAAGCCGUGAAGCGAGCCACCUGGGAAGUACGGCCGCAAGGCUGAAACUUAAAGGAAUUGGCGGGGGAGCACAACAACGGGUGGAGCCUGCGGUUUAAUUGGACUCAACGCCGGACAACUCACCGGGGACGACAGCAAUAUGUAGGCCAGGCUGAAGACCUUGCCUGAAUCGCUG
rnacentral:rRNA from 1 species